rnacentral:rRNA from 1 species
GACGAACGCUGGCGGCGUGCUUAACACAUGCAAGUCGAACGGAAAGGCCCUGCUUUGGUGGGGUGCUCGAGUGGCGAACGGGUGAGUAACACGUGAGUAACCUGCCCUUGACUUUGGGAUAACUUCAGGAAACUGGGGCUAAUACCGGAUAGGAGCUCCUGCUGCAUGGUGUGGGUUGGAGAGUUUCGGCGGUUGGGGAUGGACUCGCGGCUUAUCAGCUUGUUGGUGGGGUAGUGGCUUACCAAGGCUUUGACGGGUAGCCGGCCUGAGAGGGUGACCGGCCACAUUGGGACUGAGAUACGGCCCAGACUCCGACGGGAGGCAGCAGUGGGGAAUAUUGCACAAUGGGCGGAAGCCUGAUGCAGCAACGCCGCGUGCGGGAUGACGGCCUUCGGGUUGUAAACCGCUUUCGCCUGUGACGAAGCGUGAGUGACGGUAAUGGGUAAAGAAGCACCGGCUAACUACGUG